rnacentral:rRNA from 1 species
UGGGGGAUAUUGCACAAUGGGGGAACCCUGAUGCAGCGACGCCGCGUGGGUGAAGAAGCGCCUCGGCGCGUAAAGCCCUGUCAGCAGGGAAGAAAAUGACGGUACCUGAAGAAGAAGCCCCGGCUAACUACGUGCCAGCAGCCG